rnacentral:rRNA from 1 species
UGGGGAAUAUUGGACAAUGGGGGCAACCCUGAUCCAGCCAUGCCGCGUGCGUGAAGAAGGCCUUAGGGUUGUAAAGCGCUUUCGACGGGGAAGAUGAUGACGGUACCCGUAGAAGAAGCCCCGGCUAACUCCGUGCCAGCAGCCGCGGUAAUACGGAGGGGGCUAGCGUUGUUCGGAAUUACUGGGCGUAAAGGGCGCGUAGGCGGACCAUCAAGUCAGGGGUGAAAGGCCUGGGCUCAACCCGGGAACUGCCUUUGAAACUGAAGGUCUAGAGUCCGAGAGAGGAUAGCGGAAUUCCCAGUGUAGAGGUGAAAUUCGUAGAUAUUGGGAAGAACACCAGUGGCGAAGGCGGCUAUCUGGCUCGGAACUGACGCUGAGGCGCGAAAGCGUGGGGAGCAA